GACGAACGCUGGGGGAGAGCUUACACCAGGGAGGUCGAACGAAAGGGCCGGGCGUUUGUGGGUUGUGGGCUCGGGGAAGGGUUGGGUAACACGUGCGUAACCCGCUGUUGACUUAGGGAAACCUCUCGGAACGUGGGGCUAUAACCGGAUAGAGCCUCUGGCCGCACGGGGGGGGUGGGAAAGUUCGGGCGGUUGGGGAUGGCCCCCCGGCUUCUCCGCCUGUUGGUGGGGUAGUGGCUUACCAGGGCUUUGACGGGUAGCCGGCCUGAGAGGGUGACCGGCCACAUUGGGACUGAGAUACGGCCCAGUCUCCUACGGGAGGCAGCAGUGGGGAAUAUUGCACAAUGGGCGGAAGCCUGAUGCAGCAACGCCGCGUGCGGGAUGACGGCCUUCGGGUUGUAGACCGCUUUCGCCUGUGACGAAGCGUGAGUGACGGUAAUGGGUAAAGAAGCACCGGCUAACUACGUG
rnacentral:rRNA from 1 species